rnacentral:tRNA from 1 species
UCCAGGGUAGCCUAGUGGACAAGGCACCUGCCCGGUAAGCAGAAGGGUGUGGGUUCGAUUCCCGCCCCUGGAC